rnacentral:lncRNA from 1 species
CCGCGGCCCCGGGGCGCAGCGCGCACGCAAUCGCGUUUCCGGAGAGACCUGGCUGCUGUGUCCCGCGGCUUGCGCUCCGUAGUGGACUCCGCGGGCCUUCGGCAGAUGCAGGCCUGGGGUAGUCUCCUUUCUGGACUGAGAAGAGAAGAAUGGAGAAGCCCCUCUUCCCAUUAGUGCCUUUGCAUUGGUUUGGCUUUGGCUACACAGCACUGGUUGUUUCUGGUGGGAUCGUUGGCUAUGUAAAAACAGGCAGCGUGCCGUCCCUGGCUGCAGGGCUGCUCUUCGGCAGUCUAGCCGGCCUGGGUGCUUACCAGCUGUAUCAGGAUCCAAGGAACGUUUGGGGUUUCCUAGGAAUCUAGAAAACUGUAUCUGAAGUUGUUCCUACCUGAAGCCGUUGCAUUGAGAGGUGCUAAGUGGAUCCUCUGGCCAGCUGACUGCACUUCUUUUUUGAGAAAGGAAGGAAUAUAUCCUGACUGAUUCAGCCCUAGCAAACCAAGAGUGAGCCACCUUGGAAGUAGAUCCUGCAGUCCCAGUCAAGCCUUCGGAUGACUGAAACUUCGGCCAAUUAUCUGACUGCCAUCAGAGAACCCAAGCCAGAACUACCCAGCUAAGCUACUUCUAAAUUCCUGACCCACAGAAACUAUGUGAAUUAAUAAAUGUUUCUUCUUAUUUUAAAUC